AGGUCAUUUUUGCCCCUCUACUGGCACUCAAGGGAUUCCUCCCCAGCAUCCCGGAAUGAACUUCCCUCUGAUAAUGGAGAAAGGUGCCAACGAUCCUUGGAAACUGCUGCUAAUUCUGAAAAAUCAUUUGAAAAGGCACUGCCUAAGCAUGCGUCAGGUGCUCAAAAAUUCUGCGUUUGACAGUACACCAGCUCAGUGAUUUAGUUUGUGGGCUUGUACCACGGGAACUAUCUACAACAUGUGCCCCAUUACUUCUGACUGAGGCACUUCAGACUGUGGAGCAGUUAGAAGGUUUUAAACGGAGCCUGACGCAGCAGA